UUAAGCGACUAAGCGUACACGGUGGAUGCCCUGGCAGUCAGAGGCGAUGAAGGACGUGCUAAUCUGCGAUAAGCGUCGGUAAGGUGAUAUGAACCGUUAUAACCGGCGAUUUCCGAAUGGGGAAACCCAGUGUGUUUCGACACACUAUCAUUAACUGAAUCCAUAGGUUAAUGAGGCGAACCGGGGGAACUGAAACAUCUAAGUACCCCGAGGAAAAGAAAUCAACCGAGAUUCCCCCAGUAGCGGCGAGCGAACGGGGAGCAGCCCAGAGCCUGAAUCAGUGUGUGUGUUAGUGGAAGCGUCUGGAAAGGCGUGCGAUACAGGGUGACAGCCCCGUACACAAAAAUGCACAUGCUGUGAGCUCGAUGAGUAGGGCGGGACACGUGGUAUCCUGUCUGAAUAUGGGGGGACCAUCCUCCAAGGCUAAAUACUCCUGACUGACCGAUAGUGAACCAGUACCGUGAGGGAAAGGCGAAAAGAACCCCGGCGAGGGGAGUGAAAAAGAACCUGAAACCGUGUACGUACAAGCAGUGGGAGCACGCUUAGGCGUGUGACUGCGUACCUUUUGUAUAAUGGGUCAGCGACUUAUAUUCUGUAGCAAGGUUAACCGAAUAGGGGAGCCGAAGGGAAACCGAGUCUUAACUGGGCGUUAAGUUGCAGGGUAUAGACCCGAAACCCGGUGAUCUAGCCAUGGGCAGGUUGAAGGUUGGGUAACACUAACUGGAGGACCGAACCGACUAAUGUUGAAAAAUUAGCGGAUGACUUGUGGCUGGGGGUGAAAGGCCAAUCAAACCGGGAGAUAGCUGGUUCUCCCCGAAAGCUAUUUAGGUAGCGCCUCGUGAAUUCAUCUCCGGGGGUAGAGCACUGUUUCGGCAAGGGGGUCAUCCCGACUUACCAACCCGAUGCAAACUGCGAAUACCGGAGAAUGUUAUCACGGGAGACACACGGCGGGUGCUAACGUCCGUCGUGAAGAGGGAAACAACCCAGACCGCCAGCUAAGGUCCCAAAGUCAUGGUUAAGUGGGAAACGAUGUGGGAAGGCCCAGACAGCCAGGAUGUUGGCUUAGAAGCAGCCAUCAUUUAAAGAAAGCGUAAUAGCUCACUGGUCGAGUCGGCCUGCGCGGAAGAUGUAACGGGGCUAAACCAUGCACCGAAGCUGCGGCAGCGACGCUUAUGCGUUGUUGGGUAGGGGAGCGUUCUGUAAGCCUGCGAAGGUGUACUGUGAGGUAUGCUGGAGGUAUCAGAAGUGCGAAUGCUGACAUAAGUAACGAUAAAGCGGGUGAAAAGCCCGCUCGCCGGAAGACCAAGGGUUCCUGUCCAACGUUAAUCGGGGCAGGGUGAGUCGACCCCUAAGGCGAGGCCGAAAGGCGUAGUCGAUGGGAAACAGGUUAAUAUUCCUGUACUUGGUGUUACUGCGAAGGGGGGACGGAGAAGGCUAUGUUGGCCGGGCGACGGUUGUCCCGGUUUAAGCGUGUAGGCUGGUUUUCCAGGCAAAUCCGGAAAAUCAAGGCUGAGGCGUGAUGACGAGGCACUACGGUGCUGAAGCAACAAAUGCCCUGCUUCCAGGAAAAGCCUCUAAGCAUCAGGUAACAUCAAAUCGUACCCCAAACCGACACAGGUGGUCAGGUAGAGAAUACCAAGGCGCUUGAGAGAACUCGGGUGAAGGAACUAGGCAAAAUGGUGCCGUAACUUCGGGAGAAGGCACGCUGAUAUGUAGGUGAAGUCCCUCGCGGAUGGAGCUGAAAUCAGUCGAAGAUACCAGCUGGCUGCAACUGUUUAUUAAAAACACAGCACUGUGCAAACACGAAAGUGGACGUAUACGGUGUGACGCCUGCCCGGUGCCGGAAGGUUAAUUGAUGGGGUUAGCCGCAAGGCGAAGCUCUUGAUCGAAGCCCCGGUAAACGGCGGCCGUAACUAUAACGGUCCUAAGGUAGCGAAAUUCCUUGUCGGGUAAGUUCCGACCUGCACGAAUGGCGUAAUGAUGGCCAGGCUGUCUCCACCCGAGACUCAGUGAAAUUGAACUCGCUGUGAAGAUGCAGUGUACCCGCGGCAAGACGGAAAGACCCCGUGAACCUUUACUAUAGCUUGACACUGAACAUUGAGCCUUGAUGUGUAGGAUAGGUGGGAGGCUUUGAAGUGUGGACGCCAGUCUGCAUGGAGCCGACCUUGAAAUACCACCCUUUAAUGUUUGAUGUUCUAACGUUGACCCGUAAUCCGGGUUGCGGACAGUGUCUGGUGGGUAGUUUGACUGGGGCGGUCUCCUCCUAAAGAGUAACGGAGGAGCACGAAGGUUGGCUAAUCCUGGUCGGACAUCAGGAGGUUAGUGCAAUGGCAUAAGCCAGCUUGACUGCGAGCGUGACGGCGCGAGCAGGUGCGAAAGCAGGUCAUAGUGAUCCGGUGGUUCUGAAUGGAAGGGCCAUCGCUCAACGGAUAAAAGGUACUCCGGGGAUAACAGGCUGAUACCGCCCAAGAGUUCAUAUCGACGGCGGUGUUUGGCACCUCGAUGUCGGCUCAUCACAUCCUGGGGCUGAAGUAGGUCCCAAGGGUAUGGCUGUUCGCCAUUUAAAGUGGUACGCGAGCUGGGUUUAGAACGUCGUGAGACAGUUCGGUCCCUAUCUGCCGUGGGCGCUGGAGAACUGAGGGGGGCUGCUCCUAGUACGAGAGGACCGGAGUGGACGCAUCACUGGUGUUCGGGUUGUCAUGCCAAUGGCACUGCCCGGUAGCUAAAUGCGGAAGAGAUAAGUGCUGAAAGCAUCUAAGCACGAAACUUGCCCCGAGAUGAGUUCUCCCUGACCCUUUAAGGGUCCUGAAGGAACGUUGAAGACGACGACGUUGAUAGGCCGGGUGUGUAAGCGCAGCGAUGCGUUGAGCUAACCGGUACUAAUGAACCGUGAGGCUUAACCUU
rnacentral:rRNA from 1 species